rnacentral:lncRNA from 1 species
AAAUACAAGAGAAUAGUAGUAAAGCAUGACACACAGGCCGUAUUUAUAAAAUUAAAACCUUUUAUCAAAUGGUUCAUCGGGCUAUAACUAUGCAUUUCAAACACUGUGCAUGUCAAAAAUAACAUACAUAAUACAACGUCUUGUUAAGGUGAAUUAUAACAUAUCCUUUCAACUUUUAUGGCUACCAAGUUUAAUUUAUUAUAAAACAUACUUUAAGAACAUGACAGGGAAUUGCCACGGUACGAGCAGGGGGUACAGGGGCGGAGCCCCGCGGUGUGCACCAGGGGUGCGGGGCGAAGCUCCCGCGG